rnacentral:rRNA from 1 species
AGCAGCCGCGGUAAUUCCAGCUCCAAUAGCGUAUAUUAAAGUUGUUGCAGUUAAAAAGCUCGUAGUUGAAUUUCGGGAUCAAUUAAUUGGUCGUGCCUCUGGUACGUACUGAUUUUAUUGGUUUCUCCCUUCUGACGAACCAUGAUGUCAUUAAUUUGGUGUCGUGGAGAAUCAGGACUGUUACUUUGAAAAAUUAGAGUGUUUAAAGCAAGCUAACGCUUGAAUACAUUAGCAUGGAAUAAUGAAAUAGGACGUUUGAUCCUAUUUUGUUGGUUUCUAGGAUCGACGUAAUGAUUAAUAGGGAUAGUUGGGGGCAUUAGUAUUCAAUUGUCAGAGGUGAAAUUCUUGGAUUUAUUGAAGACUAACUACUGCGAAAGCAUUUGCAAAGGAUGUUUUCAUUAAUCAAGAACGAAAGUUAGGGGAUCGAAGACGAUCAGAUACCGUCGUAGUCUUAACCAUAAACUAUGCCGACUAGGGAUCGGAUGAUGUUAAUUUUUAAUGACUCAUUCGGCGCCUUAAC